AGUUAGAUCUAGUCUCAGGACGACGACUGGUGCUGGACUAACACAUGCUAGUCGAUCGAGGCUGUCCGGUGCUUGCACUGGAAGAUCGAGUGUCGAACGGGUGAGUAAUACAUGACAAUCCUGCCUCGGAGACGGGGACACCCUCGGGAAACUGAGGCUGAUACCCGAUAUCCCUGCCGAGUAGCAUGACUUGGCAAGAAAAAGCUCAGGUGCUCCAAGAGGAUCUCAUGCCCUAUCAGCUUGUUGGUGAGGUAAAAGCUCACCAAGGCUUAGACGGGUAGCUGGUCUGAGAGGACGAUCAGCCACACUGGGACUGAGACACGGCCCAGACUCCUACGGGAGGCAGCAGUGGGGAAUCUUGUGCAAUGGGCGAAAGCCUGACGCAGCCACGCCACGUGUGGGACGACGGCCCUCGGGUUGUAAUCCACUUUCAGCAGGGACGAAAAUGACGGUACCUGCAGAAGAAGCCCCGGCCAUCUACGUGCCAGCAGCCGCGGUAACACGUAGGGGGCGAGCGUUGUCCGGAAUUACUGGGCGUAAAGGGCUCGUAGGCGGUUUGGUAAGUCAGAUGUGAAAACUCCAGGCUCAACUUGGAGACGCCAUCUGAUACUGCCAUGACUAGAGUUUGGUAGAGGAGUGCAGAAUUCCCGGUGUAGCGGUGAAAUGCGCAGAUAUCGGGAGGAAUACCAGUCAGCGAAGGCGGCACUCUGGCCCACAUCUGACGCUGAGGAGCGAAAGCGUGGGGAGCGAACAGGAUGUAGAUACCCUGGUAG
rnacentral:rRNA from 1 species